rnacentral:rRNA from 1 species
GAUGAACGCUGGCGGCGUGCCUAAUACAUGCAAGUCGAGCGAACAGACGAGGAGCUUGCUCCUCUGAUGUUAGCGGCGGACGGGUGAGUAACACGUGGAUAACCUACCUAUAAGACUGGGAUAACUUCGGAAACCGGAGCUAAUACCGGAUAACAUGUUGAACCGCAUGGUUCAACAGUGAAAGACGGUCUUGCUGUCACUUAUAGAUGGAUCCGCGCCGCAUUAGCUAGUUGGUAAGGUAACGGCUUACCAAGGCAACGAUGCGUAGCCGACCUGAGAGGGUGAUCGGCCACACUGGAACUGAGACACGGUCCAGACUCCUACGGGAGGCAGCAGUAGGGAAUCUUCCGCAAUGGGCGAAAGCCUGACGGAGCAACGCCGCGUGAGUGAAGAAGGUCUUCGGAUCGUAAAACUCUGUUAUUAGGGAAGAACAAAUGUGUAAGUAACUAUGCACGUCUUGACGGUACCUAAUCAGAAAGCCACGGCUAACUACGUG